rnacentral:rRNA from 1 species
UACGGAGGGUGCAAGCGUUGCUCGGAUUUAUUGGGCGUAGAGGGUAGGUAGGUGGUCUUAUUUGUCUAGGGUGAAAUCCUUGAGCUUAACUCAAGGAGUGCCCUAGAAACGGUAAGACUAGAGUCCUGGAGAGGGUCGUGGAAUUCCUGGUGUAGCGGUGAAAUGCGCAGAUAUCAGGAGGAACACCGGUGGCGAAGGCGGGUCUCUGGGCCGAUAUCGACGCUGAGGAGCGAAAGCGUGGGGAGCGAACAGG